GCCGGGCGUGGUGGCGCGUGCCUGUAGUCCCAGCUACACGGGAGGCUGAGGUGGGAGGAUCGCUUGAAUCCAGGAGUUCUGGGCUGUAGUGCGCUAUGCCGAUCAGGUGUCCGCACUAAGUUUGGCAUCAAUAUGGUGGCCUCCUGGGAGCAGGGGACCACCAGUUUGCCUAAGGAGGGGUGAACCGGCCCAGGUCAGAAAUGGAGCAGGUCAAAACUCCCGUGCUGAUCAGUAGCGGGAUCGCGCCUGUGAAUAGCCACUGCACUCCAGCCUGGGCAACGGAGCGAGACCCCGUCUCU
ensembl:misc_RNA Metazoa_SRP Metazoan signal recognition particle RNA